CGGGUGCACUGAUCCAGCCGGGCCUUUCCCUCUGUGGAACCCCAUGGCCUUCACUGGCUGUGGUGGGGAAACAGGACUUUUACUUUGAAAAAAUUAGAGUGCUCCAGGCAGGCCUAUGCUCGAAUACAUUAGCAUGGAAUAAUAGAAUAGGACGUGUGGUUCUAUUUUGUUGGUUUCUAGGACCGCCGUAAUGAUUAAUAGGGACAGUCGGGGGCAUCAGUAUUCAAUUGUCAGAGGUGAAAUUCUUGGAUCUAUUGAAGACUAACUACUGCGAAAGCAUUUGCCAAGGAUGUUUUCAUUGAUAAGGAACGAAAGUUAGGGGAUCGAAGACGAUCAGAUACCGUCGUAGCCUUAACUAUAAACUAUGCCGACUAGGGAUCGGACGAUGUUAUUCUUUGACGCGUUCGGCACCUUUCGAGAAAUCAAAGUGCUUGGGCUCCAGGGGGAGUAUGGUCGCAAGGCUGAAACUUAAAGAAAUUGACGGAAGGGCACCACCAGGGGUGGAACCUGCGGCUUAAUUUGACUCAACACGGGGAAACUCACCAGGUCCAGACACAGUGAGGAUUGACAGAUUGAGAGCUCUUUCUUGAUUCUGUGGGUGGUGGUGCAUGGCCGUUCUUAGUUGGUGGAGUGAUUUGUCUGCUUAAUUGCGAUAACGAACGAGACCUUAACCUGCUAAAUAGCCCGUACUGCUUUGGCAGUUCGCCGGCUUCUUAGAGGGACUAUCGG
rnacentral:rRNA from 1 species